rnacentral:tRNA from 1 species
UUAGGGAGACCUGCUGCCAUCAUGACCGACCCAAACAUUUAGGUCAGAUGCCAGUCAUCCCAAGGUCGUGCGAGGAAACAACUGGGCAGAAAGCUUUCAAACUCUUAAACGGUUCGGUUUAUGGGCUAUUAGCUCAGGUGGUUAGAGCGCACCCCUGAUAAGGGUGAGGUCCCUGGUUCGAGUCCAGGAUGGCCCACCUAGAAAUAGUGUUAAGUUUUAAGUGCUGAGUUUUGAGUUAAGAAAUUAACUACUCAAAAUUCAAAACUCAAAACUCAAAACUAUUGUGGGGGUAUAGCUCAGCUGGUAGAGCGCUGCCUUUGCAAGGCAGAUGUCAGCGGUUCGAGUCCGCUUACCUCCACUCGACCAGUAAAACCAAAAAAAUCAAAAUACCUUGUUUAUCUUCCCUGAUUGGUGAUAGACUAGAAAAAGUGGAAAAAAAGAAUCCUGCAACUGUUAGGUGAAGUCCUUGCAGCCUGCUGGAAUUCUUUCCAGCCAGAACCUUGAAAACUGCAUAGCAACAAGUCAUAGGUAGUCAGUAGAAAGUAGAAGUCAUUAAUUUGACAACUACGGAAAUUACAGACUUUGAUUUAAGU